AGGACAGACAGCAGACCAAUUCAAUACAGAGUCCAGUAUUUAAAUGUCUUCUGGCUUUGGACUAUUAUCCCUGCAUUGUUAAUAGAAAAUCUAUCUGGCAAAGUGGAACAACUCUGACGUUCUUCCUGUUCAUCCUUAGUUUGACAGGGAGUCUGGUGUUGAUUGUCCAAACGCAAUUCUUGUACUGCUGCUCCAAAUCCAGGAGUUGUGGAUGGACAUCAUGCUCCCCUCUCCCAGCGACUUCCCUGCUCAUCCACAGCACUGACGCAGACAUCAACACGCAUUCAAAUUGAUGGAUUAUGUCUAUUGUAUUAUCAGAACCUGAAAUGUUCUUGCUGAAGAGGUUUGCAGUGCCAAUUCCUGGAUUUAUAUUGUAAUAAAAUAGCAGGUAAACUGUCAAGAAUAA